rnacentral:rRNA from 1 species
GGCACUAGGUGUGGGGACCAUUCCACGGUUUNCGCGCCGCAGCUAACGCAUUAAGUGCCCCGCCUGGGGAGUACGGCCGCAAGGCUAAAACUCAAAGGAAUUGACGGGGGCCCGCACAAGCGGCGGAGCAUGCGGAUUAAUUCGAUGCAACGCGAAGAACCUUACCAAGGCUUGACAUGUUCUCGAUCGCCGUAGAGAUACGGUUUCCCCUUUGGGGCGGGUUCACAGGUGGUGCAUGGUUGUCGUCAGCUCGUGUCGUGAGAUGUUGGGUUAAGUCCCGCAACGAGCGCAACCCUCGUUCCAUGUUGCCAGCACGUCGUGGUGGGGACUCAUGGGAGACUGCCGGGGUCAACUCGGAGGAAGGUGAGGACGACGUCAAAUCAUCAUGCCCCUUAUGUCUUGGGCUUCACGCAUGCUACAAUGGCCGGUACAAUGGGUUGCGAUACUGUGAGGUGGAGCUAAUCCCAAAAAGCCGGUCUCAGUUCGGAUUGGGGUCUGCAACUCGACCCCAUGAAGUCGGAGUCGCUAGUAAUCGCAGAUCAGCAACGCUGCGGUGAAUACGUUCCCGGGCCUUGUACACACCGCCCGUCAAGUCACGAAAGUUCUGGUAACACCCGAAGCCGGUGGCCUAACCCUUGUG